rnacentral:tRNA from 1 species
GCUCUGGUGGGGUAGCGGAUAUCCUGGGGGGCUGCGGACUCCCCGACCCGGGUUCAACUCCCGGCCAGAGCA